UGAUUGAAUGAAUGUAAAUGAAUUAUCAUGGAUGUUUAUGUAUCCCUGCCGAGGGCAGGUAUGACGAUUCCCUUCGGGGAUUAGCGGGCCGUCAGACGUGAUGGUUAGGCGGUUCCUCCAUCCGCUGUUGGGAGGAACGUGUCCCCACUUGGGCGGGUGAGGGAUACCACUCCAUCCGCUGUUGGGAGUGCGAUAUGGAUUAUCUCCAUCCGCUGUUGGGAGGAAUCCAUCCCGUGGAAUAUGCCUCUCCA
rnacentral:lncRNA from 1 species